UACGUAGGUGGCAAGCGUUGUCCGGAUUUAUUGGGUUUAAAGGGUGCGUAGGCGGUCUAUUAAGUCAGCGGUGAAAUACUCCAGCUUAACUGGAGGGGUGCCAUUGAUACUGAUGGACUUGAGUCAAGUCGAGGUAGGCGGAAUUGACGGUGUAGCGGUGAAAUGCUUAGAUAUCAGGAGGAACACCGGUGGCGAAGGCGGGUCUCUGGGCCGAUACUGACGCUGAGGAGCGAAAGCGUGGGGAGCGAACAGG
rnacentral:rRNA from 1 species